rnacentral:lncRNA from 1 species
CUUCAUUCUGCUGCCCCACCUCCCUACGCUGCCACACUGGGGGUCCCGUUUCAACAAGAGUUUUGCUGGGAACAGAUGCACUGACUACAUCCAGGUCGUGGAUGCAGAUGAGAUGGCAGGUGCCCCAGCAGCCCUCGCCAACCAUAAGGCAUGGAUUCCUCACCUUCGGCUCGGGGAGCACAGAGACUGAGGGCCGUGGACUCGGGGUGAGAUGGUGGCACCUCCAUCACAGACCCACAGUCUCUGUGUCCAGCCCUUCCGGAAAGAUGACAGAAAUGAAAAGUCUGCCUUAUGGAAGACAAGGCACCGACGCUUUCCCUGACAGCAUCAUCAUCACCCAACUAGGGCAGCUGACCCGCGUCUUCCUCACGACGUGGAAUGGUUUGAGUCAAGGGUUUUCAUGGCCAUGAGCCACGUGGAGGCUGUGCCUUUUGUUUCCUGUGAGAAAUCUUCAACCAGCGCCACUCUCAGCCUCCCCUCUGCCAGCGCUUCUGUGGCUGCACCUGCAUUCGUGGGCUGUGGCUGCGAAGCACAGGAAUAAUUGAUGGCUCUGGGGCACUUUGCUGGGCUGCUUCCAGAAAAGUUGACCCCUCCCUGCAAACCAGCACUGCCCAGCAUUCUUGUCCCGCCAAGCCUGACUGUGAGCUGUUGUGACGUUGCCACUUUGCUCGGAAAGGACCCCUUACCUUUUAUUUCCCUUGCAUUUCUUUCAAUUCUACCAUUGACCAUUUCUCAUACGUGUGGUCAUCAUUGUAUUUCGCCCCCAUUUUGUGAGGUUUAGUGUAUUCUUAAAGUUUCCUGGGUUUUGAUGAGAGCAUAUUCUGUCAUUAUAUUUAACAGGUGUUUUCCCCAGCUUGGAUGUGUUUGGCCAUUAGCUUCUUUUCUGCUAUUUUACACUAGUCUGUUAUUCUUCACUACAAAAGGACUCUGCCGAGGGUCCCCAUGCUCCCCAUGCUUCGGGGUGUGAGGUAGCAGGGGAAGGCAGGUGUCCUUCCUUCUUUGAAGUGCGGGUUGGGGCAGGACAGCAGACCCUGGGGUCACUGCUGAGGAGGGGAAGGAUGGGAUUAGGACUGUUCUCUUCCUGGCCUCAUGAGCUCCCCCAGCUCCUUCUGGUGGUUGGAGAAGAAACCUCCUGAUUGUCACGGAGAGUGAGUUUGUCCGUGGAGCUUUUCCUGCACGGCUCACAUAGAACGGGCUGUGAGGUCCCUCCACUGAGCAGCACGUGCCAGGCCGGGUGCCCACGACUGUUGGGAAAACCCAGGCCUGUAUUCCAGGAAGCAAAGGUCUUUAGAUGAAGGUUUUAAGAAUGAAAAUUAACCCACAGAAUGGUGAGGUCAGUUGGAGCCUGGAUUCCAUGGGGUAAGACAGCCACAGCCAGGUGGGCAUCCUGCUCCUUCCCUUUCCCCUGUCCCUGCCCACCGGCCAUGCCCUAGAGUAGGGGCACACUCGGACCCCAGCCCAGCGCCCACCCAUGCUGCCUGCAGGCCUGCGAGGUCCCACAACCCCUUGGCAUGCAGCGACAGCCCGGGGCCAGGUGUGGGUGAGGCUUGGGAUUUCCUGGCACAGCUGACUUCAUGUUGUGGCCUGGCAGCCUCGGGUGGUGUCGGCAGAUGCAGGAAGCCACGGGCGCAGCUCCCUGCCUGUCCCGGCCGUGGGUGCUAAUGCAGAGUGGGUUCUGUGGCUGGUCACACAGGCAGCCGGGUGGGUGCAGGUCAUCCCGGGGAUGGCCUUGCACUGUCUGAUCCCCGGGGAGGGGAGGGUCUUUUCGCUGACCACGCUGUUUGCUGCGUGCUUUUUGUUUGCCAAGGGCUGCAAUGUUUGUCGUCUGCCGCAGUGUUUGCUGCCGGGUGAAGAAUCGCUGGCCCUGUGUUGUCACCUGGGCCCACCGUGACAAGGUCCCCACCUCUGUUGUGGGACUCGGGGGCAAAGUUCCCUGCUGUUCACGCUGCAAGUGACAAGGGCCUUGGUCUCUGAACCAGGAGCCUCUGAGUCCUGCCCCACAGGGCUGAGCCCUGGCUGGGAGCAAUGUUCUUUGGGGGAGACAGCAGCUUCCUCACUUCCAUGUACAGCCAGAUGCCACGGGAUGUGGGGAGUGCGACAGGGCCGUGGGGAGUGUGACAAGGCCUUGGGGAGUGUGACAGGGCUGUGGGGAGUGUGACAGGGCCUUGGGGAGUUUGACAGGGCCGUGGGGAGUGUGACAGAGCCGUG